AUAUCAAUAAGCGGAGGAAAAGAAACCAACAGGGAUUGCCUUAGUAACUGCGAGUGAAGCGGCAAAAGCUCAAAUUUGAAAUCUGGCGCCUUUGGGUGUCCGAGUUGUAAUUUGAAGAAGGUAACUUUGGAGUCGGCUCUCGCAUAUGUUCCUUGGAAGAGGACGUCAUAGAGGGUGAGAAUCCCGUACAUGGUGAGAUGUCCGGCUCCUUGUAAAGUGCUUUCGAAGAGUCGAGUUGUUUGGGAAUGCAGCUCUAAGUGGGUGGUAAAUUCCAUCUAAAGCUAAAUAUUGGCGAGAGACCGAUAGCGAACAAGUACAGUGAUGGAAAGAUGAAAAGAACUUUGAAAAGAGAGUGAAAAAGUACGUGAAAUUGUUGAAAGGGAAGGGCUUGAAAUCAGACUUGGUGUGUUGUGAUCAGCUUCCUCUCGGGGUUGUGCACUCGCAAUGUACUGGGCCAGCAUCGGUUUUGGCGGCGAGAUAAGAGCAUAGGAAUGUGGCUCAGCUUCGGUUGAGUGUUAUAGCCUGUGUUGAUAUCGCCAGCUGGGACCGAGGACCGCGCUUUUAGCUAGGAUGCUGGCGUAAUG
rnacentral:rRNA from 1 species